rnacentral:rRNA from 1 species
CAGCAGCCGCGGGAAUACAGAGGGUGCGAGCGUUAAUCGGAUUUACUGGGCGUAAAGCGUGCGUAGGCGGCUUCUUAAGUCGGAUGUGAAAUCCCUGAGCUUAACUUAGGAAUUGCAUUUGAUACUGGGAAGCUAGAGUAUGGGAGAGGAUGGUAGAAUUCCAGGUGUAGCGGUGAAAUGCGUAGAGAUCUGGAGGAAUACCGAUGGCGAAGGCAGCCAUCUGGCCUAAUACUGACGCUGAGGUACGAAAGCAUGGGGAGCAAACAGGAUUAGAUACCCCCGUAGUCCCUGUCUCUUAUAA